rnacentral:rRNA from 1 species
AGAGUUUGAUUAUGGCUCAGAACGAACGCUUGCUGCAUGCUUUAUACAUGCAAGUCGAACGAAGGCCCUAGCUUGCUAGGUGUCCUUAGUGGCGCACGGGUGAGUAACACGUGGGAACAUACCUCAUAGUACGGAAUAACUGCGGGAAACUGUAGCUAAUACCGUAUAUUCCAGUAAUGGGAAAGAUUUAUCGCUAUGAGAUUGGCCCGCGCAAGAUUAGUUUGUUGGUAAGGUAAUGGCUUACCAAGGCUACGAUCUUUAGCUGGUUUGAGAGGAUGAUCAGCCACACUGGGACUGAGACACGGCCCAGACUCCUACGGGAGGCAGCAGUAGGGAAUAUUGGACAAUGGGGGAAACCCUGAUCCAGCAAUGCAGCGUGAGUGACGAAGGCCUUAGGGUUGUAAAACUCUUUCAUCGGUGAGGAUAAUGACAGUAGCCGAAGAAGAAGGACCGGCUAAUUCCGUGCCAGCAGCCGCGGUAAUACGGAAGGUCCUAGCGUUGUUCGGAAUUACUGGGCGUAAAGCGCAUGUAGGCGGAACAGAAAGUUAGAAGUGAAAUCCCUGGGCUCAACCUAGGAAUUGCUUUUAAAACUUCUGUUCUGGAAUUCAGGAGAGGAAAAUGGAAUAUCCAGUGUAGAGGUGAAAUUCGUAGAUAUUGGAUGGAACACCAGUGGCGAAGGCGAUUUUCUGGACUGAUAUUGACGCUGAGAUGCGAAGGCAUGGGUAGCAAACGGGAUUAGAUACCCCGGUAGUCCAUGCAGUAAACGAUGGGUGCUAGUCGUCGGACUUAUGUUCGGUGUCGUAGCUAACGCGUUAAGCACCCCGCCUGGGGAGUACGGUCGCAAGAUUAAAACUCAAAUAAAUUGACGGGGACCCGCACAAGCAGUGGAGCAUGUGGUUUAAUUCGACGCAACGCGAAGAACCUUACCAGCGUUUGACAUGGGAAGUACCGGUUACAGAAUGGUAACCUUCAGUUCGGCUGGCUUCCACACAGGUGCUGCAUGGCUGUCGUCAGCUCGUGUCGUGAGAUGU